ACUCAAAGGAAUUGACGGGGGCCCGCACAAGCAGCGGAGCGUGUGGUUUAAUUCGAGGCUACACGAAGAACCUUACCUGGGCUUGACAUGGUGGUGGUAGGGAAGCGAAAGCGGACCGACCUUCGGGAGCCAUCACAGGUGCUGCAUGGCUGUCGUCAGCUCGUGUCGUGAGAUGUUCGGUUAAGUCCGGUAACGAGCGCAACCCUUGCCGUUAGUUACAAGUGUCUAGCGGGACUGCCCGUAGAAAGCGGGAGGAAGGUGGGGAUGACGUCAAGUCAGCAUGGCCUUAAUGUCCAGGGCUACACACACGCUACAAUGGCCGGUCCAAUGGGUCGCCAACCCGCGAGGGGGAGCCAAUCCAGGAAAGCCGGUCGUAGUUCGGAUUGCAGGCUGCAACCCGCCUGCAUGAAGUCGGAGUUGCUAGUAAACGCCGGUCAGCCAUACGGCGUUGAAUACGUUCCCGGGCCUUGUACACACCGCCCGU
rnacentral:rRNA from 1 species